rnacentral:rRNA from 1 species
GAUGAACGCUGGCGGCGUGCCUAAUACAUGCAAGUCGAGCGAACAGCUGAGGAGCUUUCUCUUCUUCCGUUAUCGUCGCACAGGUGAGUAUCACGUGGAUAACCUCCCUAUAUGACUGGGGUACCUUCGGUAAACAGGAGCUCUUACCGCGUAAUCUAUCUAACCGCAUGGUUCAGUAUUGAAAGACGGUUUUGCUUUCAUUUAUACAUUGAUCCGCGCCGCAUUAGCUAUUUGGUAAGGUAACGGCUUACCAAGGCAACGAUGCGUAGCAGACCUGAGAGAGUGAUCGGCAAAACGGGAACUGAGAAACGGUCCAGACUCCUAGGGGAGGCAGCAGUAGGGAAUCUUCGGAAAUGAGCGAAAGCUGGAGGGGGAAACGCCGCGGGAGUGAGGAAGGUCUUCGGAUCGUAAGACUCUUUUAUUAGGGAAGAAGAAAUGUGUAAGUAAAGAGGGAAGGAUUGACGGUACCGAAACAGAAAGCCACGGCUAACUACGUG